GAUGGAAACUCGAGGGACUCAGGCAAUGGUGGCAAUGGAGAAAACCAUAGAAAAUGGGCAUAGGUCCAAUAGAGAAAGGAAAAUGGCAUUGAUACAAGAUGUGUGUGAAUGAUAUUCAUCUUUCUUUUGCGCUUUAAUUCCCCAAAGUGUUUUCUCUAGAACCCCUUUGUCAGUGUAGUUAUGUGUUAAAACUGUGCAGGUUGACAAGUUGAAGAGGAAGCUUAGACUGGAAGAGAAUGUUCACAGAGUGUUAGAAAGAGCAUUUACAAGACCUUUGGGGUCCCUUCCUCGUCUUCCUCCUUAUCUCCCCCCACAUAUACUAAAGCUUGUGGCUGAAGUAGCAGUAUUGGAGGAGGAGGUGGUUAGACUAGAAGAAAAUGUUGUGAAUUUCAGCCAAGCUCUAUAUCAGGAAGCUGUCUACAUUUCCUCUAAGUGGAAAUCAGAAUAUUUGAUGGACACAAUGGACGAGAACUCCAUCAGAAGCUCCAAAUAUCAAACAUCAAAUUCUUUUUCCUAAAG